rnacentral:rRNA from 1 species
UAGGGAAUCUUCCACAAUGGACGAAAGUCUGAUGGAGCAACGCCGCGUGAGUGAAGAAGGUUUUCGGAUCGUAAAGCUCUGUUGUUGGUGAAGAAGGAUAGAGGCAGUAACUGGUCUUUAUUUGACGGUAAUCAACCAGAAAGUCACGGCUAACUACGUGACAG